UACGUAGGCAGCGAGCGCUGUUCGGAAUUACUGGGCGUAAAGAGUGUGUAGGCGGUGCUCUAAGUUCGGUGUGAAAUCUCCCGGCUUAACUGGGAGGGUGCGCCGGAAACUGGAGUGCUCGAGCGUGGGAGAGGAAAGCGGAAUUCCUGGUGUAGCGGUGAAAUGCGUAGAUAUCAGGAGGAACACCUGCGGUGUAGACGGCUUUCUGGACCAUUGCUGACGCUGAGACACGAAAGCGUGGGUAGCAAACAGG
rnacentral:rRNA from 1 species